CACACACCGCCCGUCGCCUCAUCGAAGUUGGUUUUAGGCGAGGUGGUGCGAUAUUGGCAUUAUCGAACCUGAGAUCAGCAACGAGGGAG
rnacentral:rRNA from 1 species